rnacentral:rRNA from 1 species
AGAAUCAACGCUGGCGGCGUGCCUAACACAUGCAAGUCGAACGAGAAAGUGGAGCAAUCCAUGAGUAAAGUGGCGCACGGGUGAGUAACACGUGACUAACCUACCUUUUAGUGGGGGAUAACCUAGGGAAACCUGGGCUAAUACCGCAUAAUACCUACGGGUCAAAGCAGCAAUGCGCUGAAAGAGGGGGUCGCGGCCGAUUAGCUAGUUGGCGGGGUAAUGGCCCACCAAGGCAGUGAUCGGUAUCCGGCCUGAGAGGGCGCACGGACACACUGGAACUGAAACACGGUCCAGACUCCUACGGGAGGCAGCAGUGGGAAUUUUGCGCAAUGGGGGAAACCCUGACGCAGCAACGCCGCGUGGAGGAUGAAGUCCCUUGGGACGUAAACUCCUUUCGAUCGGGACGAUAAUGACGGUACCGGAAGAAGAAGCCCCGGCUAACUUCGCGCCAGCAGCCGC